UUCGGGGGCUACGGGCGGCUGGGCCACGCCGAGCAGAAGGACGAGAUGGUUCCGCGGCUGGUGAAGCUCUUCGACUUCCCGGGGCGCGGCGCCGCCCAGAUCUACGCGGGAUACACCUGCUCCUUCGCCGUCAGCGAGACCGGCGGGUUGUUCUUCUGGGGCGCCACCAACACGUCCCGGGAGUCCACCAUGUACCCCAAGGCGGUGCAGGACCUGUGCGGGUGGAGGAUCCGCAGCCUGG